AUGUACAUUCCUACAACAUACUAUUAAUGCACCAGAUACCAUUAGGACUCCACAAUUAAGUAUGCUCAAGCUAGAGUUGUACUGGGAUGGGUGACUGCUCGGGAAGUCCUAGUGUUUUAUAUU
rfam:Picea glauca, whole genome shotgun sequence.